ACUUGUCUUCUAAAUAAAGACCAGUAUGAACGGCUAAAUGAGGACAAACCUGUCUCCUACAACAAAUCAGUGAAACUGAUCUCCCAGUACAAAAGCUGGUAUAAACACAUAAGACGAGAAGACCCUGUGGAGCUUAAAAAUAAGCGUUCAACAAACAUCACCAAAAUAACAAUGACCGUAUAUUUUAAGUUGGGGCGACUUCGGAAAAAAACAAAACUUCCGAGAAAAGGGCCACCUAGCCCACCCUAGGGAUACAACCCUAAAGCACGAACGUGAUUUAGACCCAGUCAAACUGAUUAACGAACCAAGUUACCCCAGGGAUAACAGCGCCAUCUUCUUCAAGAGUCCAUAUCGACAAGAAGGUUUACGACCUCGAUGUUGGAUCAGGACACCCAAAUGGUGCAGCAGCUAUUAAAGGUUCGUUUGUUCAACGAUUAACAGUCCUACGUGAUC
rnacentral:rRNA from 1 species